rnacentral:rRNA from 1 species
AUGGCUCCCGCCGACCUCAGCUCGCACGUCCCCGCGGCCGCGGACGCCGCACCCAAGUCCCUCGCCAAGCCAAAGCAAGAAGAGAUCAGCCCUGCGGCGGCCGACGUGGAGGCGGGUGGCGGCAGCCCGGGCGGCGACGGCGUCAACUACGCAGCGCGCGCGCAGUGGCUCCGCGCGGCCGUCCUGGGCGCCAACGACGGCCUCGUCAGCGUGGCCUCCCUCAUGAUCGGCGUCGGCGCCGUCAACGAGUCCAGGCGCGCGAUGCUCGUGUCGGGCGUCGCGGGGCUCGUGUCCGGCGCCUGCAGCAUGGCCAUCGGCGAGUACGUGUCCGUCUACGCGCAGUACGACAUCGAGGUGGCCCAGAUCAAGCGCACCCGCCGCGGCCAGGACGGCGACGGAGGCAGCGGCGACAGGAGCAACCUGCCGAGCCCGACGCUGGCGGCGGGGGCGUCGGCCCUGGCGUUCGCCGCGGGCGGCGCGCUGCCGCUUCUGAGCGGCGGGUUCGUGCGGGCGUGGGCGGGCAGGGUGGCGGCCGUGUGCACGGCGAGCAGCGUCGGGCUCGCCGGCUUCGGCGUGCUGGGCGCGUACCUGGGCGGCGCCAGCGCGGUGCGGUCCGGGGCCCGGGUGCUCGUGGGAGGGUGGCUCGCCAUGGCCACCACCUUCGGGGCGCUUAAGCUCUUCGGAGUGCACGCUGCUUAG